rnacentral:rRNA from 1 species
CUCUUGACCUCGGAUCAGGUAGGGAUACCCGCUGAACUUAAGCAUAUCAAUAAGCGGAGGAAAAGAAACCAACAGGGAUUGCCCUAGUAACGGCGAGUGAAGCGGCAACAGCUCAAAUUUGAAAUCUGGCGUCUUUGGCGUCCGAGUUGUAAUUUGCAGAGGGCGCUUUGGCAUUGGCAGCGGUCCAAGUUCCUUGGAACAGGACGUCACAGAGGGUGAGAAUCCCGUACGUGGUCGCUAGCCUUUACCGUGUAAAGCCCCUUCGACGAGUCGAGUUGUUUGGGAAUGCAGCUCUAAAUGGGAGGUAAAUUUCUUCUAAAGCUAAAUACUGGCCAGAGACCGAUAGCGCACAAGUAGAGUGAUCGAAAGAUGAAAAGCACUUUGGAAAGAGAGUUAAAAAGCACGUGAAAUUGUUGAAAGGGAAGCGCUUGCAGCCAGACUUGCCUGUAGUUGCUCAUCCGGGUUUCUACCCGGUGCACUCUUCUACGGGCAGGCCAGCAUCAGUUUGGGCGGUUGGAUAAAGGUCUCUGUCAUGUACCUCCCUUCGGGGAGAUCUUAUAGGGGAGACGACAUGCAACCAGCCUGGACUGAGGUCCGCGCAUCUGCUAGGAUGCUGGCGUAAUGGCUGUAAGCGGCCCGUCUUGAAACACGGACCAAGGAGUCUAACAUCUAUGCGAGUGUUUGGGUGUCAAGCCCGAGCGCGUAAUGAAAGUGAACGGAGGUGGGAACCUUUCGGGGUGCACCAUUGACCGAUCCUGAUGUCUUCGGAUGGAUUUGAGUAAGAGCAUAGCUGUUGGGACCCGAAAGAUGGUGAACUAUGCUUGAAUAGGGUGAAGCCAGAGGAAACUCUGGUGGAGGCUCGCAGCGGUUCUGACGUGCAAAUCGAUCGUCAAAU